rnacentral:tRNA from 1 species
CCCAGGUGGCUUAGUGGUAAAGAAUCUGCCUACAAUGCAGGAGACGCAGGUUCAAUCCCUGGGUCAGGGA